AUUCAGUUUGCUUAUAGGAUGCAGCUGCAAUUUUAAACAGUAAAUCUCCGAGGAAACAGAAUAGGCGAGACUGUAUUAAGUGUUAUAUUAAAUAUUAUAAAUAUUGAAAAAAUUACAAUUGAUGUCAUAUUUGGAUCCGGCAUUAUAGAGAUUAAUCUACGCAUGAAAAUAUGAUCCGGCAAAAUCUUUAUUUUGUGUUGAUACUUUACAUGAGUUUAAUUUUGGAAAUCCAUGCUGCUUCAGACCUUUGCACAAUACAUAGCUGUCUGUGUGAUGGUCGGCAACUAGCUUGUAGAAAUUGUAGUAACCUCAAUCUGACAUCUGUCCCACAAAAUAGUACAAAUGUUAUUUGUUUAGAUCUAUCCAAUAAUCAA